GUUUAUAUAAUUUAAAUAAGAUAUUAGACUGUGACUCUGAUUAUGAGAGUUAAAACCUCUCUAUGGACCGAAAAGAGUUAGAAACACAG
rnacentral:tRNA from 1 species